rnacentral:rRNA from 1 species
CGUGUAGGUGGGUGACCACGUCGGAUGCUGAAAUCCCUCGGCUCAACCGAGGAACGGGCACCGAUACGAGUCGCCUGGAGGGGGUAGGGGAGCUGGAACUUCCGGUGGAGCGGUGAAAUGCGUUGAGAUCGGAAGGAACGCCCGUGGCGAAAGCGAGCUCCUGGACCUUUUCUGACACUGAGACGCGAAAGCUAGGGGAGCGAACG